rnacentral:ncRNA from 1 species
AAAUGUCGCAGGUGUCCGUUUUGGAAGAAUAGAAAAGCUGAGUGAAAAUCUCACACGGUCACGCCGCUGUAAUGGAGGAGCUGUAUUUUACAUAUGUCACUGGGAAACUGGGAAGGCAAAAUACAGCAUGGAUCCCUGAGUCAGAAGACCUGCCUGCUGCAUC